rnacentral:RNase_MRP_RNA from 1 species
AGAUAUUUAUAUUAUUAAUAGGAAAGUCAUAAAUAUAUAAAUUAUAUUAUAUAAUUAAUAUACUCCUUUCGGGGUUCCGGUCUCCGUACCGGACCCCGGAACUAAUAAAAUAAAUUAUAUAUUUUAUUUAUAAUAUUAUUUCUUUAUAAGAUAAAUAUUAUCUAAUUAAUAAUUAGAUUGAAUAAUAUUUAUAAAGAAAUAUAUAUAUAUAUAUAAAGUCAUUAUAUAAAUUUAAUUAUAAUUUAAAUAAAUUUUAUAUAAAUUAAUAUAAUAUUAAUAAAGUAAUUAGUAUAAAUAAAUAAUAUGAAAAUAAAACUUAAUAAAUAUAUAAAUAUAGUCCAUAUAUAUAUAUUAAUAAAAAAAAAGUAAUAUAUAUAUAUAUAUUGGAAUAGUUAUAUUAUUAUACAGAAAUAUGCUUAAUUAUAAUAUAAUAUCCA